CUCAUAUAGGAGCAAGCAUGAUGCACAGACACAGAGCACAGUAACCGUUUUCCCCACCAACCUCGAUUCAUUCUGUAGUUCAUGCAGUAAAUGGCUGAAAAGGUAGGUUUGAUGUCCGGAGAUGAAGAGGAGAUGCAAAAUAAUGAUGAAAAAUAUCCAUUUCAAGCUUGUUACACCCUCACCACAGCAGACGGCUGCUCUGCAAAUGAUUUGCUUAGCAGCCCUAAUGAAGAGAGGGAAAGAUUGUCUAUUUCAUCUAGCAAGGCCAUAGAGUGUAAAAAAACCCUCAUUGAACAAUACUUUAUUACUCAUAAUAAGGCACAAAACAUAGCCCCUGGGUUCACUGAAUAUCAUUCAACAGAUGCAAAUAUAUCACUAGCUGGAUCAUCUUAUCCUGAGGCAAUCUGUACACUGAAGCCUGUAGCCAUAUCUUCUCCAUGCCCAGAAAGCCUUCACUGUGACUGCAAUAAGUAUUCUGAAGAGUUACAGCCUGCAGGUGCUGCUAAAGAGUCUGAGGCUCCACAAAAUAUUGCUUCCCUGCUAGUAAGUGGACUCAGCUGCUGUCACACAUGGAGUUCCAGUACUGCGCUCACUUGGAAUAACACAAAGGAAGAUAUGGCCCCUUAUAGCGUUGGCCAAACUACGUGGAUGAAGACCAUGAAAGUAAAGGAGAUCAUAGAAAAGAGAAAACUGGAAGAAAAGGAGAGGUAUCAACUCCAGAAAAUCUACCCCUGCACAUGCAAGCCCCAAAACAUAAGACCUCCAGCCAAAAAUUCAAGGGAUCUUUGGGACAAAGGUAUUCAAGAAGAGAAAAUGGAGAAUCCAAGUUUAUGCCUGGCCAACAUGAUCAGAUGUCAUGUAUCCUUCCUGCAGAAAAUCAAGUAAAAUGUGAGGGUUUUCCAUAACUCCUGAUUCUGCAAACUCAACCUGGGAUCUGCAUGAGGAUUAAAUCUUUUGUCUCCUGCAAAUUAGACUCUGGACACCUCAUUUCAACCUCAUUUCUACUGGGAGAAGAGCACUGUAAAAAUUUAUUUUUGUCACUGAAGUCAUCAGCUAUGACUCCACAUAUAAACAGGGAGCAGAUCUGGACAGCAUAAAAAGGAGUGAAAACUGAGUAUUCUUCAAGGCCCAGCAGAUGUAGACUUACCACAACCCCAGCCUUAUUGAAAAAAGGCUGGCAGAAUUUACAAAAUAAAAUUGACUAAUUUCUUC